CAUACGGAGACAAUAAAAUUUUUUUAAGAUGGGGAUUUUACCAGUCAGGCUCCUGGCUAGAAACCAGCUACCAGCUGGUACCUGAUCUAGCCAUAGCCUGACAGUAAACGGGUCUAGAAAAGGAAUACAGCAGCUAACAUUUGCAGGAGACAGAGCCAAUUGAGACUUAGCAUAGGCGGAAAUAUGCUGAGAUUCCUCCUCCUCCUGCCUGCAGUCAGCGGCUCCUGUUUACUGUUCAUGGAAUGUAUUCCUGCUCCUUAAGCCAUGCUUAUGCUUUAAGAUUUGUCAUCUCUGCCUCAGUCUUAGAGUCCGACAUCAUCUGCAAGCAGGAUGAUACAUUGUGGGAAUCAUUUUCUGACAGAGACCAGGAAAACAAGCCUGGAACAGAGCAGAUGGCACAGAAUUUCUAUGGAUAUUUAUCACAUCAUUGAGAGAAUUCAUUGCCUUGGUGUGUGGCUUAAUACCUUACUGAUGUUUUAGAUUGUGUCUCCAUGUUUACCUUAAAAUAUUGUUGUCAUUGUCUCACUGGUGUUCACUUUAUUCUCACCAACUUUUACUUUUCCACAGGAGCUUUGUGAGACCAGGCAAAAGUGAUCCAAGAGUUGGUCAUGUGUGAAUGAGAAGAGUAGCUCAAUAAAGGAGUAGGAUCAUCCUAAAUAAUUUCUCACUUAUGCUUAUCAGAAGCAUGUGGGAGUUAACAUGAAAGGGUGAGGAAAUAAAUGGGUGAUAGACAUAGAUGUAUUAAAAAAACUAAUAUGCAGACCUUUUUGUAAGAAUGUUGAGUGGAGUAGUUUGUUGUGUCAUUUGUUGGGGUAAUGCACAUGCAGGUGUGUGUACAUGCAGUUGUGUGAUGAAAGAGGGAAAACGCAGUAGGUAAAAGGAGAGACAGAGAUAGAAAUAGAGGAAUAGAGGAAGAAAAUGAAAUGAAAGUGUGAAGGAAUGGCAAGGCGUGCUUGUUAGUUUUUGUCAAUUAAAUGCAAACCAGAGUCAAAUGGGUAAAGGGUUCCUAAGUUAAUAAAUUGCCUUAAUCAGCAUGUCUCUGUGGCACUAUUUGAUUGAUAAUUAAGGUUAGAGAGUCAUGGCCAUGAGUUUUGUAAAAUGCAAGGUAUGGUUUUGGGACAUUAACAUGCUCUCUGCUUUUGUCCCCACCUCCAGAUAUGUGCUUUGCAUUGCAAACUUGAAUUGCCAUGAUGAUGGACUGUAUAUUGUGAAAAGGAUUCUAUCUAUACCUCUUAACUUGCUGUAGGAAGCUAAGGAAAGAGCUGAAUAACGAAUAGCUUCGUGUUCAUCUUUAAGAAAGUCCCAGAAAGCAGUGACCUAGCAGCCAUUCAGAGACCUGCUAACCACCAGGGUCUCAGAUUCAACACUGAAGCCAUGUUUCCUCUCAAGAUCAUGUCACGCUCCCACCAGAUGUCAACCACCACACUCUGCUGAUGGCUGAAGAGCACAAUCAAGGAAGUGUUUGGACAAGUUAUGCAAUCUUAGAAAAACCUGGUCAGUAAAUAGGAAUAUUAAGCAUGGGAACUGAGGUGGAGGAAUUUCAGCACCUAUAAAGGAACAAGAUGAAGAUCCUACCCUGUAACAAGUGUGUGCAAUCCUGUAGCUUAUCAUGAUGUGACAGCUGAAUAACCUCAAUAGCUGAAUGAACUUCUUGGAAGAAUUUGCAGAAGGCAUGGACAUGGAAAUAGUCAAGGUUGAAUGUUUUUUUCCUCCAUUUUAAUUGUGAACCCCACAUUCAAAUGGAUGCUCACUCAACAUAAAAUAACAGUAAUUCAUUAUGUCAUUCCAACAGUUGUCUGUGAUAAUCUGAAAUUUUUGAGGCACCAAUCAUUAGAUAGAGAACAAAUCAAUUUUCUUACUUACAGAAAUAUUAUUUGAAAGGUUUUAUUAAUCUGGACAAUUCUAUAACCAGAACUUCACAGUUUUACAGGUAAAAUUAGCUAAAAAAAGAGAAAAAUGUUUUGUUUCAUUAAUGAAACUAUAUUUUCGUAUCAAUAGAGAUUAUAUUUUAGCAAAAAAGCUAUAGCAAUGUGACUAUAAUUAAAUAUUCUAACACAUGCUUGUUGAAAUUCUGUUUAUAAUUCCCUUUAAGACAGAACAUCAAUAUCAUGGCAUUUAUAGGGGCUGUCAUAGAUUAGAAAUGAAAUUCUUCACCAUUAAAGCAGUCUAUCAGCACAGAUGAUGUCAGUGCGCAGAAAAUGAUAGAUAAGUGAACAGCACAAUUUUCCCAGAGUUGGACAUAAAGGAAAACUAAAAAAAAUCUGAAUUGCAAUUUUAAAAGUUCUUCUAUUUUAAUUGUAAAUAAUGGUCUCUAUUUAUAUCUAUAAAUACAUAUUAUAGCACAAAUAUAUAAAAAUUGCUGAGAAAUAUAUGUGGUUCAGUGGUAAGUUUUCUCAGCAAUUAAGAACAUUUCUUCCUUUUCCACAUAUCCACAGUAUUAAUCCUCAUACCCCAACUACAGCAAACUGCUGUCUCCAUUUCUGGUACUACUGUAUCUGAUUCCCCCUUAAACCUUCUAUGCACAAAAGCCACAGACUUACAUGAUGCAGAAGAAUAUAUGCACAUGAAAUAAACACUGAAAAGUUGGCUUAUGCAAGUCUCAAGCAAGUUUAAUAUCUUACUUGACCAGUGGCUGUUUUUUAUUACACAAAAAGUGAAGACUCUAGAAUUCAUGCAAAUGGCAUAGUUUUGAUAUGUUCAGAGUGUAAUUUAGGUAAAGAUACAGAUUAUUUCACUAUAUUUUCCAGUUCUCAAAAGAUGUCUUUACAUAGCCUUUACUACCACUUCCUAAGCCCAAUUCUGAAACUAUAUUUACAUCCCUCAAUCACAAAACAAAAUUAUGCAUAACAUAAUUCAGCCCUCUAUUUCAGUUGGUAGAAUAGUUUCUUUGUAUGCAGAACUAUUAGGUAACUGUUAUGUCUAAACUGUCGAGAGGAAGGUUGUUCAUAGAACUGAGAAACACAAAUCCCUUUGGCGAAUCAGCCAACUCAGCAAAUUUCUAGUUUCAUAAAUUACCUCUGAGUGAGAAACAUAGUCUGUAGUGGAAUUGCCUUUACAUUUUUUAUGGAGCUGUAGGUAUGCAUUUCAGAAUUUUCUCCCACACUCCUGUGGGCUUUGGGCAAUACAUCUGUUUUUGCACCACACAUGCUUACUCAUGGUUCUGUAUGUAACAUCAUUAAAUAAUUGUAUUUUACAGGAAGUUAUUAAUAUUUGGCUUUUAAUCCAUGUCCUUUCUGGGUAAAACUGACCUUUACAUAUGUCAUUCCAGGAAAAGACACACAGGAGGAAAGUAUACCUGUAUAUACGUGAAGAAAAUUUCCUUACCAGUGGUCAAUGAAGUUUAAAAUUGCAGUUAAUAGGGAUUAUAUUUAGGUUUAUUCACUUCUUGUGCUUUAGCUGUAGGUCAGGUAAGGUUGAAAUUUUACACUCAUAUGAUCCUUUUGAUGCAGACUCCUGUGACCAGUGAUCACCAGAGCUUAUGUCCAUAUAUGCUCAGGUAUGGUUUACAUUUUUCAAUAUAUUUUUGAGUUAACAUUUUGAAUAUUGUUUUUUUUCUGAAACACAACUUAAUAAUUAUUUGAUCUUAUGAGUUGCAGAAUUGCCAUAAUCUUUUGUUUUAUUUUUAGAAAGAAUUUUGUGGGUUCCUUACUAUUUAUAUACCCACAGGUUAUGUUAUUUUCCCAAAGGUAUAAUUAUUUGUUUAUCAUAUCAAGGGACUAUACUAAAUACAUGAUUCUUUAUGUUAUUUCCUCAUCUAAUAAACCUGACAGUUUCUUUGAAACAAAAUUAAAUAAUAAUAUGGAGGGAAUGAGCAUCUUUUAAAAAUUAUAUUCUAUGUGUAUAGUAGAACUUAUCAAUACUGUUAUUUUAAUCCUGAAAGAAUGUGACUCUUAAUUGUUUAAUUUUGUUUCUCUUUUUUUUUUUGCUUUGAUUUAACAUUGUAUUUGGAAGACAUUUUUUUUAUUCCUUUAUUCAUUAUUGAUUUAACUUUAUGUGUGUGAUUACUUUUCUCCCAUAAAUGUCUUUGAAUGCCUGCUUGUCUUGUUUCUUUUAAUGGUCAGAAAAUGUUGUAGGAUUUCCUGCCUUGGAGUUACAGACAUUUGUGAGGUAAUGUGUAGUUCCUAGAAAUCAAAGUAGUGUAUUCUAGAAGACCAGGCAGUGUUUGUAAGUGUUGAGCUGUCCAUCCUGACAUUUUCGCUUAUUGUUCUUUUCCCUUGAUCUUACAUCAUAUUUGUCUGCCAUUUUCU